UACAGAGGGUGCAAGCGUUAAUCGGAAUUACUGGGCGUAAAGCGCGCGUAGGUGGUUUGUUAAGUUGGAUGUGAAAUCCCCGGGCUCAACCUGGGAACUGCAUUCAAAACUGACAAGCUAGAGUAUGGUAAGAGGGUGGUGGAAUUUCCUGUGUAGCGGUGAAAUGCGUAGAUAUAGGAAGGAACACCAGUGGCGAAGGCGACCACCUGGACGUGAAUACUGACACUGGAGUGCGA
rnacentral:rRNA from 1 species